GACCACCUUCACGGAACAUUUUAUGCUUUAUUUCUCGACUGAUUACUGAUUAAAGUUACCAAAAAUCAAAAUACUUUGAAUUUCAAACAAUCAGCUUC